GCCGGGUGCAGUGGUGCAGGCCUGUAGUUCCAGCUACUCAAGAGGCUGAAGUAAGAGGAUCACUGGAGCCCAGGGGUUCUGGGCUGUACUGUGCUAUGCUGAUCAGGUGUCCACACUAAGUUCACCAUCAAUAUGAUGACCUCCCAGGUGGGAAAUGGAGCAAGUGAAAACUCCCGUGCUGAUCAGUAGUGGGAUCAUGUCUGUGAAUAACCACUGCACUCCAACUGGGCAACAUAGCAAGACCCCAUCUCUA
rnacentral:SRP_RNA from 1 species